rnacentral:misc_RNA from 1 species
AUAGUUAAUAGUUGAGUUUAGCAAUCACUGUACCAUCACUAGUUAAACACUAUUGAAUUUGAAACCAGUAUCCUUUUAUAUUUUUAUUGUGAGUGCUUGCAGAUGUUGACGCACUGAUGCCUGACUGCUUGCUUAGACUAUAAUCACAAACAUUAUUAACAAAAAGACAAGUGACCACCAGUUAAGCAAACCGGAAUCAUGGGUAAUUUUAUGAGCGCCUUGAUCGUGAACGCAAUUGGGGCUACAUUGAUUUAUGGCACCGGUGGACUGGCGUUGGGUAUAGUGGGACCUUGGCUUGGCUUCCAAGGCGUUGGAAUAAUGGCUGGUUCACUGGCUGCAUCUGCCCAGGCUUACUACGGGAACUUAGCUGCUGGCAGCAUCAUUUCCUUGAUGACUGCUGCAUCUAUGGCUGCUGGCAACAAGUAGGUAACCACUGAAAAGGAAUGGAAGAAAUUAAUUUUAAGAAUAAAACCAAUUAUUUGUAAAGAAAUAGCAUUUUUUUUAUUCACUCAUUUAUUUAUUUAUCUUUUUUAUUUAAAUUUUCAACAAUGUUAAUCUAAAAAUAAUAAAUAAAUUAUCCUGAAUUUCUGCAGGAUACAAUCGUCUGAUCCUAACGAUGAUAACCCUAUAAAAAAAUACCGAUAUUAUGGUAUAUUAUGAUUAUUAUUUUAAACAAACAUUUUAAUGCAGCAACACUAUUAGAGGUAUAUACCCGACUCGUAGUGUAUUGAUUUUAGAGAUGUACCUAAUCUUAGCUGAUUCAUCGUACGACUAAUUUAGGUUUAACGAUAAUCGAUUUAAAUAAUCGGAUAGUGUUCUGAAACACAAUUAUUAUUAAUUUAAAACCUUUAGUUAUUUUUUUUAAACAAAAUAUAAUCUUUACUUACCUACCUUACACAGUGUGUACGUGAUUUCGGCAUAUUACAAAUCGAAAUAAACCCAUAUUAAAAACGUUUGUUAAUUCUAUGUAUGUAUUAAUAAGGUAGGAAAGAAAUUGAUAAAUUUUUGUUAAACGUAACAUUCAAACAAACUAUAUUUUUAAUAAAUACAUUUUCUGUCGAAUUAGAAGUAACUACAUAAUCGAAUUUCAAUACUACGAGUCUACGAGCAUGAUAUGAACAUCACUAGUGGAGAACGAAUAUAAAACGUGAAUCGCCGCUUUAUGUUUGACAUAGUUGCAUUCUGAAUUUCUGAACUUGCAGGUCUAUAGUGAUCUGUGACUUGCAGUACUGAGUACAUUGUGCAUUUGCGCAGUUUGUAAUCAUGGGAUUCUUAGCUGCUCUAACAGUGGGCGUGGUCGGUGGGGCCGCCAUCUACUGCACCGGUGGUCUGGCUACAGGACUCGUAGCUCCGAUGCUGGGCUUCGGCAGUGCCGGUAUAGGGGCGGGCACUGUUGCUGCUUCAGCACAAGCCUAUUAUGGCAAUCUGGUAGCUGGCAGUGUCAUUUCGAAGCUGACAGCUGCUGCGAUGGUUGCUCCAACACCCUAGGU